AGGGAAGUAUUUCAAUUGGCAGAAUGCGUGUUUUGGGUACACGUGGUUGUGGGUUCGAGUCCCGCCUUCCCUA
rnacentral:tRNA from 1 species